UGGUUGUUAAUUAGAUGUUUGUGUUGGUUAAGUUGAUGGUAAGAAAAUGUGGAUGGAAAUGGUAUGGUAGCAAUUAAUGGUUGGUAUGGAAUGAAUGUAGUAUGAUGUUUAAAAUGACUAGUUUUUGGUAGCUUUGAAUGUAGUUGGUUUUGUUCUAAUUGGUAAGAUGCGUGAUAGGUAUACGAAUGCUUAUAACAAUACUUAUUGUGUAUAUAUUUUGGUGUAUGAAC
rnacentral:lncRNA from 1 species